UCAAGAGGCUGUGAGGCAGCUCAGCGUCUCCAUUAGAAUUCAGAGUAUUCCACGGUAAUUACAAAACAGCUGUAAUGGAAAAUUGGUAGUCAAACCCAUUUUCCAGCGACUAGAACGGUGAAUGGGCUCCAUUAUGUUCCUAAUUCUCAUUAACUUAAUUUGCAUAGGAAACAAUGAAGGAAUACAUAAUGAAGUACAGUGGGCCAGCAGCCCAGCCCUCACCCCCACAAUGCUGGGUUCAACUUGCACUGACCCACCCCACAGAGAGGGAGAAACCCAGGGCUCCCUGUGGACUGGACCUCCCCCAGGUGACCUGAAGCUGCCCUGAUGGAGCACAAUGGAGGGAUACCACUUGUCUGUAACUUGUUCAGGAUCCCUUUGCCUCAGCACACACCAUGUAAACCCUGAUUCUUCUCCACACCCCUGCUUUGGGGAAGGCUGAAGAACUGGAGCAGAAGGAAAAAGAACUUGUUUUUAGCUCUUCAGGUGCCAUAACUCUGCAUCCCAGAGAGAAAACAAACACCUGCUUGAGAAGCAGUAUUGUUGGUCCCUGUGUAAGAAACAACCAGACGACCCUCCAGAUACAAACACCUUCUCUUCCCUGCAGCCAGCACCACCCUCACAGUUUGGAGCCACAGCCUACCAUGUAUGCAGACAAUAGGAAACAGCAAUGCCUUUGUGCUUCAGGGAGAAGAGGAGAAGGGCAGGAGAGUAAAUGUGGUCGUGACGAAACACAAACCAUGCAAUGCCAUGCACAUCUUUUUCCUGUUGGAUAUCGGGAUGUAUUUGGCUCAAUAUCUAGUGCACGCACAGUAUCAGGCUCACAAAAAUAUGGAGAACUAACUGGAUACCUGAGAAGAGAAGAAGGGAAAGAAGAAGACUGGAGAUGCAAAUGCAUAGAGAACCUGGAGGCAGAAACUAGAGCAGAGGCCAUGGAGGAGCCAUACUACUGACUUACUCCCAGAUUCACACCUCUCAAGACCACCUGCCUAGAGAUAGCACAGCUCACAGUGAGCUGGGCACUCCCCCAUCAAUCAGCAAUCAAGAAAAGACCCUGAAGACAUGUCUACAAGCCAAUCCAAUGGGGGAAAAUUUUCAACUGGGGUUCACACAUCCAAAUGUGACAAGUUGACCACAAGGUGAGUUAGUCAUCACAGAUGUGAAAUCACUUUGUCAUAGCAUCAUUUUUUUUUCUAUCUCAAGAGGAACUGUAGGUUUUUCCUAUUUCAACGUCUCAAUGGAAGAAUGACUGUCUUGAACAUUAAAUUUGGACUUGAUCUUGCUUUCAGCCGCAGACUUCCUGAGAUGUUACAGCCAUAAUAAACAAACCUCCCUCCUGAUGCCCCAGUUCAGAAUUCCACAUGUGGAAGAGAUUAUUUCAUAGGCGACAUGGCGAAGAAUGAGGUAGCAUCUGAACAAUAAAGGUCUCAGAUCUAAUUUUCUGAACCCUACAAUAAGGUUGAUAACUGAGUGGCGGUUAGCAAUGCACCUUAGACUGAUUUGGCUUCUCUUUCCUCUUAGAACCCUGGGCACACCCAGUGGUAUCCAGAUCUCUCUAGGUAUGAGAUAGUUGAGACCCCAGACUGGGAUUGUAUUAGCCUACAUAAGUAGCUCUGGGUGUCUUGACCUUUCACAGUUACCAGAAUCAUCUGGACACGAUGUUGCAAAUCCCAGUAACUGGACCAGACCCUCCCUAGGUUUGUUAAUUUCAGAUGGCUAGUUUGUAGACUUAGCCAUAAUUAUUUUUGCUAAACUUCUGGCUAUCUCCAUCGUAACGAAUACCAGGAGUCACUGUUCUCCAUGAACCACAAAGGAAGAUCAUGUCUACAUGGAUUACCUAGUUCCAUCAUGUAAUAUUGCCUGAGUGAGUGAUCACAGAGACUUCGGUCUAAUACCACAAAGAGAAGAAUCUCCCAGAGUCCCCUGCGUAGAUGCCCUAGAACAAGGACUUAUGAAGAAUCAGUACUGCAUCCAGAGAAGACAGUGCAGUCCUGAAGCCAGAGCUUGGACACAGAGUCAAACUGAGGGCUGUGAAAUGUCAAGCUGCCAGGCAAAAUCUAAGGACCCCAGGCGAAGAGACGGUUUACCUGUAUUCAGAGCGAACCUUCCAAGCGCAGUGAAACCUUUCUGGAGACACCCUCACGGACAAUCACAAAAGUGUCUUUCUUAGUGAUUCCAAAUGUACUAAAGCUGACAAGAAAGAUCAUCCCGUCACACUGGGUUUGCUUCCAGUCUGCUCAGAGAAGGAUUUCCAAGUUUCUCCAGCUGUACUGAGGGGGAAGCUUGGUUCUGGAGCUAAGGAAGUUCAUCAUUUGGUAAAGAUCUUUCUGCAUUGUCACAUGUCGGAAGACAAAUGCCUGAGAGACAGAGAUCACACAAAUCAGUUCUUUUAUCAGGAACCCAUUCUGAGUUUAAUGAGCCUGAGAAUUUUCCUCCAGAGAACGUUUCCCAGAAUAUUACACAGCUUUGGAAACAAAUACCAGCUCCAGUUGUAUGGCCUGAAAACAUCAGUGUGGUCCUAAAGGAAACAAAUCCACCCUAAGGGAGUAUGAUAAGAACCCAACACAACUGUCUUGAGAGGCUUCAUCCAGACGCUGAUGGAAAUAAAUGUAGAGACCCACAGCCAAAACAUUAGACAGAGCAUGAGGAGUCUUGUGGAAGAGUCGGGGACAGGAUUGAGGGAUCCAGAGAGAUCAAGGCUACCACAAGAAGACCUACAGAGUCAACUAAGCUGGGCCCAUGGGGCUUCACAAAGACUGAACCACCAACCAAAAACCAUGUGUUUCUAUGUUUUCAUCAUUAUUUUCAUGAUAAUGCUAGAAGGAAACGUUGUUCUCAUGCCUCUAUAUAUGAAGGCAACCCAAAAGACAUGUGUCAACCUCUACAGCAGCAAGGAAAGGUUGGGAGUGGGAGGCCUCUCAAUACUUUCUGCUUCUCCAAGUGGCCAAACUCACCGGCAGAUCUUGCUGCAGCAAUGACAAGAAAGGUGCUUCCUGGUGAAGUCCUGGAUGAAGCCUAUGGAGAAGGGAAGGCUGCUGAGAACAUCCUGCCACCUCCCACAAUGCACCAAAAAAAGAAGCCUUGGUCUUUAAUGCCAGUCCUAAUUGAGUGGAUGGACCCCAUAGAUAGUGAUGAUGCUGAUAUACUGGGUAAAUUAUUUCCAUUUACAUUAAAAUUACACCUGCUUCAUCCAACGGGGAGGAGGACCAACAGGCUCUGGUGAAGUGGAUCAGAGUGAGAAGAAGCUUAACAGAAUUCUGAAAAGGAGCCUGGUUUGACUCUGAAAGUGUUCCGUAGGGAAAGAAGCCUCACCAGAAAUUGGCCAUGUGAAACAGAACUGAGAAUGGAGAAAAUUGCUUCCAGUUCCAGGUAGAGAGACCAAGACAACAUGAUUGGCAAGUGGGAUAUAUGGAAGAGGUCACUAGAGUUCAAGGUCCUUCAUACUCAUGUGAGAGAAAAAGAAAAAGGAAAUGAUGCAAAGAAGAAAUCAAAAGUCCACUGAGUUCAGUCACCCAUAAGAAACAUGAGGUAAGUGACCCAGAGGUUGAGGGGACCUGGGGCUCUAUAACUGAAUGCUGAUCAACCCUCAGGAGAAGAACUGUAGAAAGCAAUGGAGAGGUAGAGAAAGGUAGAAAAGCAGAUAUUUCUGUAGCACUUACCUGUGUAGCACUGACUCUGGGUAGUCUCUAAGUAGAACUGACGGCAUUGCAAACACAAUAAGCAGUUCUAGACAAACUGGAAUAGCAAUCAGUUUGGGAGCCUGGGAGUAGUCACACUUUUGCUGUUGUCAACGCUUUCAGUGGCUUUAAUUUUCAGUGGUAAGCACAACUUCUAUAUAGUGUUGUCAAAAUUGCAAUGAAGUUAUGUCAUUGAAUAUUAAAGGCCCAACCCAUGGAGUGCCAACACAUAGAUUUGAAUUUCAUGCUUGCCCCUAAACAUCAAGAUAAAUAUGUCUAAUUUUAUAAAAACCUGGCCAACCCCAUGGAGGCUGACAAUUACAUCUAUUGUUACCCAAGUAUGCUAGAAUAAAACCUGGCUCUGAUCAAUGUGUGAGAGCAAAAAUUGGAGGGAAGGGGGGAAAGGAAAAAAAACACAAGAAUCAUCAUAGAGGCAGUUCAAAUUGGCUACCUGUGUUUGUAAUCUCCUUGUCAAAUACACUGAUUAAUGGGACAUUUGAUUUCAGAAGGAUGGGGCCUACAUUUAAUGAACAAUUUUGAAAAAUCACACUGAUAGGUUAUGGGGUGAAUAUUGGGAAACUUGAAAAAUAUAAGACUAAAGGAAGGGAUAAAAAAAACAGACCUGUAAGAGCUCCUAUUACAAGCCAGGCACUUGGGCUCCAUCCUGAAGGCAGUAGCAGCCCCAGCAGGAUUCUAAGCACGAGUGAGGUCAUACUUGUUUCUUAGAAAAAUUACUUUGUCUUCAAAGUAAAAAUUGGAUCAAGGCAGUAAAGCUGGAAAUACAUAGAACAGUAAAGGAUCAAAUGUCUCGUGAGUCCCUGAACUGGGGCAACGAUUAAGGAAACAAAACAUGCCCAGCUUUGAGAGGUAAGAGAUCAGUAUGCCUGUCACUGCUUUGAAUGAUAGGGUAAGGAAAAAGGAGUGGUAAGGGAAGUCAAUUAGAUUUCUGGGUGUGACGGGAGUAUAGUCAGUAAGUAACUCAUGAUUCUGAAGUAUUAAUGUACACUAUAUUAAUUCCAGAUUUUCAAUGUACUGUAAGGCAUGUUAAUUAUGAUAAGGGGAGCCUUAGAUGCUCAUCCUAAGUCAAUUGAGUGAAGAGUCCACUCAUCUAAUCAAUGUAUCACUGUGGUGAUCUGAAGCCCUGGGUGAAUGAGUAAGGAGUAGAUGGAGUCCUGCGUGAAUGUGUGCUGUUGGUAUGAUGUCAAGGACCCCAGAUCCAUGGAAAUUGAAGGCCUUCCCCUAGUUAGACUCGGGGAAAGAGCAAAGCCAAUUUCUGGUCUGAAUGAAUGCUAGCAGUGUAUGCAGAAUGCACACUAAUAAAUCCUGGGUUGUGCAGUUGGUACCUCCCAUCAGUGCUAGCACAGCUGACAUGAGCCUCCCUUCUCUACAUGUGUAUGUCAUUUCUUCAGAGUGUUAUGUCUUUACCCCUAAGUCUCCCAUGUCAGGUUUCCAGAAUCAAGCUGUGCAACACAGCACAUGAUGUGAUAGAGAGCUCAAUAGAAAAAGACAGUGACAAAGUCUAAUUUAUAAUUUAGUCCAAUUUGUGAUUUAGACAAAGUCCAAAGUUAGGAAUUGAAUUAGAAGAAGAGCACAGGGAGACCAGAGAAAGACAAGAAAGGUGGUUUGGAAGAAAGAAGGAGAGUGCAUCAAAAGUAGGAUGCUGGAGGUCACAGGGGCAAAGAAACGAAAGCUAAACUACUAGGGAGCUAGAUGUAAAACCCUAACCCAGGGCAGCCCUGUGGUCCUGGGAAGACAGAUGUGGCAUGGGUAGCCUCUUCCUGAGGCUGGGGUAAUUAGCUCUUGACUGAGUCCUAGUAUUUAUGACCUCAUUUCUCCUUUUCUCUUUCUCCAAUUUUCUCAUUUCUCUCAUUCAAGAUGCAAGAUUCUUGCCUCCUUAAUGAAACAUCUCUUGUCCUACAUUACUCUUCUUGGACCUAACUUUCUACCAUACAGAGUUUGAAUCAUGUCCCAUCUAAGCCCGGAAUCACAUGAAUUACCUGUCUGGUUUUCUUCUUCAUGGGUCCAUGUGGCAUAAAUAAAAGAACUGAUAUGGUUUGGAGCCAAUCAGACCUUAAAAUACAAAAUCUCCUAUGGUCCUGAAGCUGCCAUUGCUCCAAACAUCUCACCCCAUCUCACUCUAGCCACACUGUACUCAUCUUGAUCAUUCAAACACACCACACCUCCAGAUCAAUUUGCCGAUGAACCAUGAGUAUGAACAUAUGUCACAAGCAAGAAAAGCCAGCAAAAAGUAUAAUCAACCCCUUGUGUAUGGGCCUAUGAUAGCCUGUGCUCUAGAUUGUAGAUCCCAGAUAGACUACCUUGCCUUAAUCUAUAUACCUAAAUGCAGUGUACUCCAGUUGCUUGGCAAAUUUCCUGGACCUACAACUGAUACUAAGAAUAUAAAAAAUAAAGCUGCAUAGUGUUGAACAACUGACAUCUGGAUAUCUUUUGUUCCUGCCUUGUAUAGCCAUUUCUGAUAAACAUAGAGGCCAGAAGGCUCUGAAACUAGAGAACAAUGAGAAAUCUACAAAU
rnacentral:sRNA from 1 species